AGCUUUGCACAGUGGCAGUAUCGUAGCCAAUGAGGUUUAUCCGAGGUGCAAUUAUUGCUAAUUGAAACAUUCUGGUUUAUAGACUUUCAUACAAGAUUAAGAUUUUUUUAUUAGAUAUUUUUAUUUAAAGAUUUUUCUU